rnacentral:rRNA from 1 species
UACGUAGGGGCCUAGCGUUGUCCGGAAUUAUUGGGCGUAAAGAGCUCGUAGGCGGUUCGGCAAGUCGGAUGUGAAAUCUCCACGCUCAACGUGGAGGGGCCAUUCGAAACUGCCGUGACUCGAGUCCGGUAGGGGAGUGUGGAAUUCCCGGUGUAGCGGUGAAAUGCGCAGAUAUCGGGAGGAACACCAAUGGCGAAGGCAGCUCGCUGGGACGUGACUGACGCUGAGACGCGAAAGCGUGGGGAGCAAACAGG